AAUAUUCAAAGAGCUCAGAUUGUAGCUGAGGUGGAAAUGGCUGAUAAUAGCUCAAUCUGCCACUCUCCCAGGUGUUGACAUUUGCAUUUUAAUGGAGGCGGUUACUGCCUUCAGCUGAAAGAGUGACUAAUAUGUUCUUUCAGUUGCUGCUGGAGGUAAUGGGAGACCCUUUGUGGCCCAGGGCCUUUUAAUGCCCUCUAGUCACAAUACUCGAUCACUCCUGAUCAGCAGCUGCCAACCCAUUGGAUUCUAAUGUCCACAUUCCACGCUUCAUCUUUGUUCUUGAUUUUGGUUUCUUGCACUUUCUCCUGAAUCCUUUUCUCCUGGAAGUAUGGGAACAUCCCCAUGAGUCACUUCUUUCAGCACGUAAACUAAUCACCCUUCUCAAGGAGAAAACCAUGCUGGACACAGUUGAAUGGGGGGAGCCCGAGAAGUCUGCCAGCAAGAAGACAGCCCCAAGAAGUCAGAGGUGAGGAAAUCAUAGGAAGAGCUGGAGAACAGCACAGUGCCAGCAGAGAUGGGCCGUGCGGCUUACGCCAAGCACUUCUUGGAUGAACAAGAAGCUGAGAACUAAUAGGAGAAAGUAUUCAGUUCCCUGACCAGGGAUUAAACCCUGGCCCUCGGCUGUGAGAGCGUGGAGUCUUAACCACGGGACCACCAGGGAAUUCCCCAAAGGCUCAUUCUUAAGGGCAAAAUGGCAGCCUCUCUCCUCCCAAACCAAUGAGCUCUGCUGAGAGCAGAUCCAGCACAGAAGGCAGCCAGAGCCAUGCCGAUUGGCAGACACUUGUCUUCAGCAAAUGUAAUUAAAGGCAGCAGCAAGCAUCCGCCUGAUGAGAAAGCAGUCUUUCCACUGAACAGAGAGGAAUGAGGGAAGAGCGCUAAACUUGGGAUCAGAAUACCCGGAGGCUCUUCUCCAGCUCUACCGCUUUCCAGCUGUGGGAUGUCCGACAAGUCACGCGUCACCUCUCUGAACUGCAGUCCCCAGCAGGGCACCCGCUCUCCUACCCUUGAUGAUUUUCUGUGAGGAUCUGGACAAUGAUGUGAAAUUCCUCUUCAAAUUAUUCACCCUUAUGUAAAGUGCGAAUCACUCUUAAUAAUGGGGAAUUAAUAAACUCAUUCUUAAUCA